GUCGGGUAAGUUCCGACCUGCACGAAUGGCGUAACGAUGGCGGCGCUGUCUCCACCCGAGACUCAGUGAAAUUGAAAUCGCUGUGAAGAUGCAGUGUAUCCGCGGCUAGACGGAAAGACCCCGUGAACCUUUACUGUAGCUUUGCACUGGACUUUGAGCCUGCUUGUGUAGGAUAGGUGGGAGGCUUUGAAGCGUGGACGCCAGUUCGCGUGGAGCCAUCCUUGAAAUACCACCCUGGCAUGCUUGAGGUUCUAACUCUGGUCCGUGAUCCGGAUCGAGGACAGUGUAUGGUGGGCAGUUUGACUGGGGCGGUCUCCUCCUAAAGAGUAACGGAGGAG
rnacentral:rRNA from 1 species